rnacentral:lncRNA from 1 species
AAAUAUUUAGUACUAAUAUAAGAAAAAAUAAAUGGAUCUGUCUACAAAUUGAAUGGUUGAAAACACAUAUUAUAAUUGACUCUUAGACACUGGAGCUUCCAAGUCAGUUGUGGAAAAGAAACUUGCCAACACCCUGAAUCAAGAAAGUGGAUCAUUUGGAGAUGGUCUCAUAAAGAAGCCUUUGGAAACCAUACACUGUAUCAGAAUAUACAGAAUGAACAUUGGGAUAUAAUGAACUAAACUGAAGGGGAUUGAACAUAUCAUUUAUUCUGAAUGGAGAGAAGUCACUGGAGUUUAUUGAGUGGGAGAGGGCACAAGGCUGACAUUCUUAGAUAUGUACUUGAAAGAAAAUCACUUUGGUUGCUGAAUGGAGGAUGGAUUGGAGUGGAGAGUAACUUCAAGAAAUCUGACUCACCAGCUUUCAUAAAAGGUAUAACCAAGCCUUACUUUAUUGUGCCCUCUAUCAUUAUUAGUUUCCUGCUUCAUGAAGAAUUAUAAAUUUUGAUUUCUAAAUCAGAGAUGUGUCCUAGUUCAUUGAAAAAUACAUUGCCCUGAAAACUGCAGUAACAGAGAGAGCUUUAUUUUCUUGAAGUGAUUUGAUUAAGUAGAUGAUUAUCAGCAGGUAUAUUAUUAUUAGUAGUAGUGGUAGUAGUAGUAGUAAUAUAUAACAUUUAUAAAUCUUGCCAGAUCCAUUUUAAAUUUUUUCUUAUAUAAUACAGGUUAAAAUGAUAAAAAAAAAUUAGUGAGAAGUAUCAUGGCCUCUGAGAGAUAUAUAAGGUAUCUUAAUUCUAUUACUUUAUUAAUUAAUCAAUAAUGUAAAAAGGAUGGAUCAUUUUCUG